AUUGAACGCUGGCGGCAGGCCUAACACAUGCAAGUCGAGCGAGCGGCGGACGGGUGAGUAAUGUAUGGGGACUGCCCGAUAGAGGGGGAUAACUACUGGAAAAGGUAGCUAAUAUCGCACACUAUCGGAUAACCCAUAUGGGAUUAGCUAGUGGGUGAGGUAAGGGCUCACCUAGGCGACGAUCCCUAGCUGGUCUGAGAGGAUGAUCAGCCACACUGGAACUGAGACACGGCCCAGACGCCUACGGAGGCAGCAGUGGGGAAUAUUGCACAAUGGGCGCAAGCCUGAUGCAGCCAUGCCGCGUGUAUGAAGAAGGCCUUCGGGUUGUAAAGUACUUUCAGUCGGGAGGCGUUACCGGCAGAAGAAGCACCGGCUAACUCCGUGCCAGCAGCCGCGGUAAUUC
rnacentral:rRNA from 1 species